UACGUAGGGGGCGGAGCGUUGUCCGGAAUCAUUGGGCGUAAAGCGCGUGUAGGCGGCCCGGUAAGUCCGCUGUGAAAGUCCAGGGCUCAACCCUGGGAUGCCGGUGGAUACUGUCGGGCUCGAGUCCGGAAGAGGCGAGUGGAAUUCCUGGUGUAGCGGUGAAAUGCGCAGAUAUCAGGAGGAACACCAAUGGCGAAGGCAGCUCGCUGGGACGUGACUGACGCUGAGACGCGAAAGCGUGGGGAGCAAACAGG
rnacentral:rRNA from 1 species